rnacentral:lncRNA from 1 species
AACUUGAUGAGUCAUCAAAAGGACUGGGCCACUGGAUUCUACCUGGCAAGAACUUCAGUGGCUGUGCCUGUGGCCUUUGACGCUCAUCCUGACUCCUGACUGAUGAAUUAUUUGGUCGACUGAGGCAGAAUCACCUUUACUGGAGCAUAAUCUGUUGGAGGCAGCAUCUCCUGAAGUCUCCAUGAGUUGCUGGAAUGAAGAUGCAAGAGGAAAUUUGGAGAUGUUGCUUGAAAGUUUAAAGUAUUGGUGUUACCGAACCAUUAGAAUAUUACAUAUGGACAACGCCCAUCCAUUAGAAUAUUACGUAUGGACAACAUGGUGGAACAUUUCGAAUAAGGCUGUAUGAGAAGCACGGCACCAGCAUCUUUUUCUGGUGAGGACUUCAGGCUGCUUCCACUCAUGGUUGAAGAUGAAGGAGAGCCAGCAUGUGUGGAGAUCACAUGGUGAGAGUGGAAGCAAGAGAGAGGGGAGGGAGGUGCCAGGUUAUUCUUAAUAUCAGUUCUCAAGGGAACUUAUAGAGUGAGAACUCACUGACUACAGUGAGGAUGGCACCAAGCCAUUCAUGAGGGAACCAAUCUCAUGACUCAAAUGCCUCACUAUAGGACCAACAUUGGGGAUAAAAUUUUAUGAGGCUUGGGGUACAAACAUAGAAAGUGUAGCAGCUGGUUUUUUUAUUUAGGAUGGUCAGGGAAAGUCUUUCUGAUUAGGUGAAGUUUGGGCAGAGGCCCAAGGAAGAAAGGGCACAAGUCAAAUGGGAUUAUCUAAGGGAAGAUUUUUCUAGGCAGAGGGAACAGCAAAUGCAAAAAGCCUGUAAUGAAGGAAAGACUUAGAGUAUUUGAGAAACAGAAAGGAAAUCAGGGAGAUCAGAGGCAGAUGUGGGGCUAGGGAAGUAGACUGGAAGCAGAGAAAUGGGAGGCCGUUACAGUGGCCCAGUGGAGACAACAAAGUGGGCAAGGAGGGGACAACUGUGAGAAAUUGAUUUUGCAGAGGAGGCCAGAGCCAGAUCAUUUGCUCUGAGUGAAAAGGAAAGGCCACUGAAAGUUUCUGAACAGAGGAUUGAUCUAACUUGCUUUAACACUUCUCUCUGGCUGCCGCAAGAGAAGAAGUUGUUGGUGCAAAGAUACAUAGGAGCAGAGAGUACAGUUGGGAAGCUAAAGUAAGGCCUAGAGACUUCGAUGGCCUGGAUGAGGGUGAUAGAGGUAAGAGAUGAGUAGUGACUGGAUUCUGGGUUUAGCUUGAAGGUGAGACCUUCAGGAUUUGCUGAAGGAUUUGAUAUAAGAUGUACUAUACAUGGUAAAGUCAAGGACCAUUUGAAGACUUUGGCCUGAGCAACUGGAAAGAUAGUGGUAGAACUGCCGUUUGCUGAGAUGAAUGAGACUGAAGGAAGUGAAAGCUUUCCCUUAUUUUGGGUAAGAGUAGAGAAUCAAAUGUGCAGUUGUGAACAUUUUAAGUCUGGAGCUUCUAUUAGAUGACUAGAUGAAGAUAUCCAGUUGGAAGACAGACACAUGAAUCUGGAUGGUAGCAGUGUGGCCAAUGUUGGAGAUAUAAAUUGGAAGCCGUAAGUUAUAGACAGGUAUAUAAAGCCAUGGGACUAGAAGAUGUCCCUGAGCGGGUGAAUAUAGAUGGAAGAGAAGGGGUCUGAGGACUGAAUUCUAGGAAGAAUGACAAAGUGGUCUGAGAAGGACUGGCCAGGGAGGUGGGAGGAGACCAAAAGAGAAGGUGCCCUAACAAAGUGAAGAAGGCCAAGAAAGAAGGGAUGGGGCAUGUCCAGUGCUGCUGAGAGAUAAGUCAGAACAAGGCAGAAGAGUGAACAUUAGCUUUGGCAUAUGGGUGGCCACUGCUGACUGUGAUGAGAGGUUUUUAAUGAAUGGUGCUGAUGAGAGCCUGGUGAAAAUGGGCUGAAGAAUGUGGGAGGGGAGUAAAUGGAGUCACUGUACAUAGAAGAUUGUUUUAAGAAAUUUUCCUGUGAAGGGGAGCAAAGGAAUAUGGCAAUGGGCUGCAGAGGUACGUGGCAGUCAAGGAAAGUUGUCAUACUGGCACA